UUAUUGCAAAUGAGGAACAAUAUAUCAAAUGGGUAAUUUGCAUCUGAUUGUUCACUGAUGUUAACACCUUAGAGAUCUGAUGCCUAUU